rnacentral:misc_RNA from 1 species
UACAAAGCCAAUGGCUAGAGAUCCGACUGAUAUAGAUAACCCUUGAGAACUUGAGGCCCCUGGAGAUGGUGCUUGUGCUUGCUCGUUCGAUCCAGAGGUCGAAGUAGAACUAGGUGCAACAGCAAUAGAUGGUGGAGAUACACCUGUGACAGCAAUUAACCAAUUUGAUAAAACUUAUCCACUUGACACGCGAAUUCACAUGAUCAAAUGCGAAAUUGCACACAUAUAACUAUCCUCAACUCCCUGCCCCAUAAACAACUCUCCCCAUCAAGCAAUGUGGGGCGGUGUUUGGGUGGGGAGGACCUCUCAUCUCCUUUUACUCGUUAUGCUAACAAAAUGAUAAAGUCAACUCAAGCAACACAUUUAAUGUAUAAACCGAAGGAGACUUGAGAAAAGUAUCCUUCCCUGCCAUUUUUCCCACAGAGUUGGUUUUAGCCCACAGGUAUAAUCAAACUCAUAACCCAUGUAAUCUACUUCGUUAUAGACCAAUGUGAGAGCUAAUUACCAAAUUUGGUACUUCCAUUAUUUGAAAUAUAGAUCUUAAACAAAAGCAGAAUCAGCAUUUUAUUUUCAUCAAAAAAGUGAGAAAAAUCUAGUAGACAAGACCAAAUCAAAGCAGAGAAUGUCUGCAACAAAUAAAUAAAAACCCUUAUCAUAGUAAUCACCUUCUGAACUGCAUGAAUAUAGAUUGCAUGUAAAUGUUAUCACAAUGAAACCCAACAGAAUCAAGAAUUAAAAUGCCAAGAUGCAGAGUAUUAUCAUUAAAGAUCAGGAUCAUAACAUACCAGGAGAACCAGUGGGAGCCAAAGACAAUCCACAGUCAGAGACAGAAGGGGCAUGCAGCUUGCAUGCAGCAGGUAAAGCAAGAGCCUUGGUGACAUUCAGAACAACACCAUACUGAGCACUACUCUUGAAAGCCACACAGAGACACUCCGCAUCAGUUUUCAACACAAUUUUCAAUCCAGAGCAACAAGUGCUCUCUGGUUUGGUUGUGGUAUUGUCGUUUGACACAUAAGACAAACAGUCAGCCAUUUUCGGCACCAAACUGGAGCAGUGUAAGGAGGGCGCCGGAGCUGCGGCGUGGUGGUGGGUCGCAUGAGUGGCAGAGAUGGAGAAGACGGAGAGAACGAAGAGGAUGAGAGAGAGAGUUGACGCCAUUUUUAAAGAGAAUUGAAGUAUAGUGGAGUGCUGAAGAAGUGGGGUGUUGUUGUUGGAGAUUAAUAAAGAGAAAUG